rnacentral:rRNA from 1 species
GAUAAACACUGGCGGCGUGCUUUAUGCAUGCAAGUCGUACGGUAGUUUACUCUUCGGAGUAAAUGAGAUGUGGCGAACGGGUGAGUAACACGCAAGUAACCUGCCCCUAAGUAGGGGAUAACUCCGAGAAAUUGGAGCUAAUACCUUAGUGGUGAUAGAGGUAAUGCACUAUCACUAAAGCCGCAAGGCGCUUGGGGAUGGGCUUACGGCCUAUCAGGUAGUUGGUGGGGUAACGGCUCACCAAGCUUUUGACGGGUAGCUGGUCUGAGAGGAUGGUCAGCCACACUGGGACUGAGAUACGGCCCAGACUCCUACGGGAGGCAGCAGCAAGGAAUAUUGUGCAAUGGGCGAAAGCCUGACACAGCGACGCCGCGUGGGGGAUGACGGCCUUCGGGUUGUAAACCCCUUUUCUCAGGGAAGAACAAUGACGGUACCUGAGGAAUAAGUCUCGGCUAACUACGUGCCAGCAGCCGCGGUAAUACGUAGGAGACGAGCGUUAUCCGGAUUUACUGGGCGUAAAGCGGGCGUAGGCGGCCUUUCAAGUCGGAUGUGAAUCUCCCGGCUCAACCGGGAGGGGCCAUUCGAUACUGUUGGGCUAGAGGGCAGCAGAGGGAAGUGGAAUUCCCGGUGUAGUGGUGAUAUGCGUAGACAUCGGGAGGAACACCAGUGGCGAAGGCGGCUUCCUGGGCUGUUGCUGACGCUGAGGCC